UCCCCCCAUUUCCCUUUUGGGAGUAGGUUUCCACCGCCGCCAGAAUGGAGCCAUUGGUGACUGUCCAGCCCAAAGCAAACGGGAGGAGGAGCAGUGGCUUUCGGGGUACAAAGGCAUGCCCGGUGCACCCCGCGAGAGGCCGAGCGUGGACAGAGCCGGGGCCGCGCAGGGCCCCUUUCCAUUCUUGAGGCUCUCCCUCCUCGCCAGCCCCGGGAGGCCCAGCCUCCCCCCGCCCCCCAACCAGAUCUCCAGCAACACAGCAGCCCCCCGCGGAGCAAGGAAGAGGCCUCCUCUGAGUGAAUGGCUGGUCUUGCUUCUCUCCAUGGUCCUCUUGUCUAGCCAAUAUGCUCUUCAGACCAGCACUCGAAGGGACGGGGUGACAGUUUUCAGGGUCUCUAACUUGCA